AAAAAAAAAAAGAGAUGACAGCUGCAUACAAUCUAUGGACUUCUAAACCAGAGAAUGAAAGUCUAAUACCUGAUAUAGAGCUCAAAAGCAUGGAUUUUGAUAUGAGAAACGAAUUCCCAAACAGUUUCCUCUGAAUUUGAAUACCCAGAAAGUGGUUUUCAGGGAAGCUCAAAUUAAAUCCUAACUUCCCUUUGGUAACCAGAAGCAGACAAUACAGCGGCCAAAUUCAUCAACCACUUUUGGGAUAGUUUUUUGCAUAAGAAGCAAGCAAAUUACAAACUUUUUUUUCUUUUAAAAAAGAAAAUAUUCUUUUCACUAUUUUUCUGCUUUUGUGUUUUAAAUG
rnacentral:misc_RNA from 1 species